rnacentral:rRNA from 1 species
GACGAACGCUGGCGGCGUGCCUAAUACAUGCAAGUUGAGCGCUGAAGGUUGGUACUUGUACCAACUGGAUGAGCAGCGAACGGGUGAGUAACGCGUGGGGAAUCUGCCUUUGAGCGGGGGACAACAUUUGGAAACGAAUGCUAAUACCGCAUAAAAACUUUAAACACAAGUUUUAAGUUUGAAAGAUGCAAUUGCAUCACUCAAAGAUGAUCCCGCGUUGUAUUAGCUAGUUGGUGAGGUAAAGGCUCACCAAGGCGAUGAUACAUAGCCGACCUGAGAGGGUGAUCGGCUACAUUGGGACUGAGACACGGCCCAAACUCCUACGGGAGGCAGCAGUAGGGAAUCUUCGGCAAUAGACGAAAGUCUGACCGAGCAACGCCGCGUGAGUGAAGAAGGUUUUCGGAUCGUAAAACUCUGUUGGUAGAGAAGAACGUUGGUGAGAGUGGAAAGCUCAUCAAGUGACGGUAACUACCCAGAAAGGGACGGCUAACUACGUG